rnacentral:SRP_RNA from 1 species
GCUGGGUGUUUGGCGUGCACCUAUAAUCCUGUUUCUGGGAGGCUUGGUAGAGUGGAUGGCUUGAGUUUAGGAGCCCUGUUUCGUGAUACCGCAUGUUGAUCAGGUGUCCGCACUAAGCUUGACAUCAGCAUGGAUCUGCUAGAGGAAUCUAGUAGGUGCAGGUUAGCUAAGGAGGAGCGUAGCUGGGUCAGGAGGGAAACCUAGCAGCCAAAACUUCCCGUGUUCGGCAGUAGUGGGAUCGUGCCAGUGAGUGGGCGUCAUGCAACAGCCUCAACGAAAUAGCCAAACCUCUAUCUUU